GACGAACGCUGGCGGCGUGCUUAACACAUGCAAGUCGAACGGAAAGGCCCUGCUUGCAGGGUACUCGAGUGGCGAACGGGUGAGUAACACGUGGGUGAUCUGCCCUGCACUUCGGGAUAAGCCUGGGAAACUGGGUCUAAUACCGGAUAGGAGCCAUUUUUAGUGUGAUGGUUGGAAAGUUUUUUCGGUGUAGGAUGAGCUCGCGGCCUAUCAGCUUGUUGGUGGGGUAAUGGCCUACCAAGGCGGCGACGGGUAGCCGGCCUGAGAGGGUGGACGGCCACAUUGGGCCUGAGAUACGGCCCAGACUCCUACGGGAGGCAGCAGUGGGGAAUAUUGCACAAUGGGCGCAAGCCUGAUGCAGCGACGCCGCGUGGGGGAUGACGGCCUUCGGGUUGUAAACUCCUUUCCCUAGGGACGAAGCUUUUUGUGACGGUACCUAGAUAAGAAGCACCGGCUAACUACGUG
rnacentral:rRNA from 1 species